GAGAAUGUAGCCUCGCCUGUAGUCAACAGUCAUGGAUUGGCUUUUUGGAGACGAUGACAAAGUUAAGAAAUGAGAUCCAGAGAUAUCAAACUCCAAUUCAACUAGUGAAAAUGUUAAGAAUGGGAAUGGAGGUGUAGCUAUUCCACAAGUUGGUGCUGGGGAACUUAGUGGGCAUAAGCAUCAACUGAGAGAAGUUGUGAAGCUGAAAUCCACUCAGAAAUUGGGUAUUCAUUGCCACCAAUGUUCUCCUGUUACUGAGUGUUCUAGUCAUGCAAAACUGGAUUCAAUCAGAGAUCGAAAGAGCUCUAGAGGCAGAUUUGGAGAUAAAUAUUAGUGUUUCUACUACACCAAGUCGGAAAAAGAACAGAGAUAUUUUUGUCCCUAGAACUCCAAAGAAUCUUAUCAAUAAGUCUGAUAUGAAAGGAAAACUUCAGUGCCAGAAAGAGUGAACCAGUAACAAACAUCACUUCAGUAAAACCUCUGCAUGACAGGCGAGCAUUGGAGGAUCUCCAAAACAAGUAAAUUUACUGCUCAUCUGUCUUUGCUCCCAUUGGCUGUGCACUCUAUUUUUGAAACAGAAGCAUAUCUCAUGCAGGGUUUUAUGGAAGUCUUUUGCCCAUUUACCAUGUUAGAUGUAGAUGAAUAUGUCGACUUAUUGAGCACAGUUCAAAUGUAACUAUGGUGUAGAAGUGUGUGGACAUGCAAUGAAAUGCAAUAUGUUAAUAUGAGAUUCUCAUGUGUGAAUUUUGGAUGCAAAACUUUGGACCUUUCCAGAACAUGAUGUGAAGGUUCACUGGUUCAGUGCCCUUGAUUCCUGAUGUAAUGUUUGUCUGAACAGCUAAUACAACCAUAUGUUGGUGUUGACAUUUCUUCUGUGUUUCCACGAAAUGAAUAUGCAACGCAAUAUAUCUUUCA